rnacentral:lncRNA from 1 species
AAAAUUUCACAAGCGAUUGGCAGUGGAAGCAAUGAAAGGAUAACUAAUGUCCAGUUCUUUUCUGUGCCACAUAUUUCCGGGCUUGCGGUGGGUCAACCGAUUGUCUUUCGUUUAUUGCUUCACCUUUCCUGCUGCCACCUAGGAUAGCCGUUGCUUCCGCUACAUGCAAUUCCCUGUUGUCGGCCACUGUUCUACGUAUUGCCACGUCUUCCCGGUUGGUUUCAACAUUACAUUCAUGAGCUCUUCUGGCUGGGGCUGUGGUUUGCUUGCCUCCUCGAGUGUCCCUCCGGUGUUCAUCUGUUCUGGCCUUUGGGUUCCUGGCCGUCGCUCCGACGUGUGCCUCUUCUGUGUGUCGAUCUGGAUUUGCUGGAGGUGUUUCAUGCACCCCUGAUUGUUCGUCUUUGUCAUAUUUGUCCUUUAUAUUUUUUGGAGGUUUGGUUGCAGUGUCUGGUCGCUUAGGUGCUGGUGUCUUCUUUUUUCUCCUAGGGAUCUCCUUUGCUGCUUUGUGGCUUCCCAAUUCCUCCGUGAUAG